GAUGGAGAUGGAUCCUUAUGAAGAGACUGACCAACAAGGAAAGCCAGCUUAUGGGCAUACUGACAUGGAGCCGGCACUCGGAUUGUUCCCUGCAAGAAGUAACAAUAGAUUGGCAUAUUCUGCAUUGAAAAGGGCCUGGUGAAAACAUGCAACAUACUCAUAUUCAGCGCCUCCACUCUUCUUGAUGGCCUGGAUCAUCUGUGGCACUUCGUGCUCAUACACAGCCGGCAGCUGUCCGUCUCCCACGCCAUCUCGGUACACGAUGAUCUUCUCAGGCAGUGUGUUGUUUACUUCAUGGAACUUUUUUAAAGCCCCUGCAACAGGUAACGUUUAUGUUUGCAUAACAUCGCAUCAUUGUGAUUACACACAGGAUAGAUAAUAUUUUUGUAAGUUUUUCAUAGUCAGGGACUAUUAAGCAUCCAUUCAUGGUUGUCCUCUAGGGCCAGUAAAAUAGGAGGGCAAUAACACUUUACCAGUCCACAAAGUUGUGAUUUUACUACAAAUCAGUCCAGGAGGGCCAGCUAAAAACUCAAAGGAUAAGGCUUAAAGAAAAAUGUAACAAAAUGUAAAAAAAAGUGGUUCUCAAGCAAUGUUUUUUGAAAAUAUAUUGUGAGGGACAGCCUGUUUUUUAUAAUGGGUUGUUCACACUAGUAUGUAACCAAAUAAACAGUUGUGUACAUCAACCUGGGAAAGGGCUUCCCCACAUAAAUGUAUAAUUCCCUGAUGAGUAAAAUACUGAUAAGUUUGUCGCUUCGUCUAAUUUGAAACAGCUAGUGCAGGUCACCAUGUAACUCUUCAGCAGGGAGACAAAGCUUUUGUUUUAGGCUAAAAAUAUAUAUAGUCACCCACAUCAUCAAAAAGUCUGCCACACGUUUUGUUUUUAUUUCCACUCCUAAUACUUAAGUAUGCA